GACGAACGCUGGCGGCGUGCUUAACACAUGCAAGUCGAACGGAAAGGCCCCUUUGGGGGUACUCGAGUGGCGAACGGGUGAGUAACACGUGAGUAACCUGCCCUUGACUUCGGGAUAACUUCAGGAAACUGGGGCUAAUACCGGAUAGGAAUCCUUGCUGCAUGGUGGGGGUUGAAAAGCUUCGGCGGUCUUGGAUGGACUCGCGGCUUAUCAGCUUGUUGGUGGGGUAGUGGCUUACCAAGGCUUUGACGGGUAGCCGGCCUGAGAGGGCGACCGGCCACAUUGGGACUGAGAUACGGCCCAGACUCCUACGGGAGGCAGCAGUGGGGAAUAUUGCACAAUGGGCGGAAGCCUGAUGCAGCAACGCCGCGUGCGGGAUGACGGCCUUCGGGUUGUAAACCGCUUUCAGCAGGGGCGAAGCUUGUGGUGACGGUACCUGCAGAAGAAGCACCGGCUAACUACGUG
rnacentral:rRNA from 1 species